UACGUAGGGUGCAAGCGUUGUCCGGAAUUAUUGGGCGUAAAGAGCUCGUAGGCGGUCUGUCGCGUCUGCUGUGAAAACUCAGGGCUUAACCCUGAGCUUGCAGUGGGUACGGGCAGACUAGAGUGCGGUAGGGGAGACUGGAAUUCCGUGGUGUAGCGGUGAAAUGCGGCAGAUAUCGGGGAGGAACACCAGUAGCGAAGGCGGCACUCUGGGCCGGUACUGGACGCUGAGGAGGCGAAAGC
rnacentral:rRNA from 1 species